GAUGCGGUGACCGAGUGGUUAAGGUGAUGGACUGCUUAUCCAGUGUGCAUUGCACGCUUGGGUUCGAAUCGCAUCUGCGUCG
rfam:Daphnia magna strain Xinb3 scaffold03215, whole genome shotgun sequence.